GUCCGUCUCGAAAUCCUGAGGCGAGACUGUAAAUCUUGAGGUCGCUGGUUCGAUCCCGGCUCGGGGGACC
rnacentral:tRNA from 1 species